rnacentral:ncRNA from 1 species
CCAGUCCCAUAAAAUUUUGUGGCCUAGAAUGGUAACAUUCUAUGGAAAAAUUCCCGAAAUUGCUGGGAAACCCCGUGAGAUAAUUCCAUAUCUCAUGGGGCAAUCAGCAGCCAAGCCCCCCACCACUUUAUGCGCACUUUUGAUACUUUUAUAAAUUUUUAAGCUAGAAUUAACCUUUUAAAACUUGCUUGAAAAUCCAUAUAAAGUGGUGGGGGGAAGGUUCAGAGACUAUAAUGGGAACCCCCCACCAAAUUUUGGUGGGGGGAUGGGAUAGUCCAUUCUCUUUGGAAACAAAGAG